GAGGGCACUUUCAGGCCACAAAGGCUCUUACAGAUUGCAGACAGGUUUGGAUUGAACGGUGCUGAUUUUUUGGAGAAUGUAGCUUAUGCUAGAGUUUAUAACACUGAUCAUCAGUCACGCCUUUUGCUAGAAGCAGCUUUGAUGAUGGUCGAAAGCAGGUAUCUUUGAAAUUUUAAAUGGUCUUUAUUUCCUGUGCUCGGUGAUCGCUGUUCAUCUACCUAAUCUUAACAGAUUUUUUCGCAUGCCCAUGAUCAUGAAGAUUUAUUGUGGAUUUUGCAUGUUUGAAUAACUAUACUGGCAAAAAUCAGGAACAUUUCAAAAGGAAUAUCUUGCAUAGUAUUUGGAUAUGUUUGUGGGAUCUUAAUCGAGUUCUCACAAGACAUGAUUUUGAUGCAAGCGCUUUGUUAAGCCCACAUCUCUAGAGGGUGGACCAUCUACACUACCAGAUUAAAUAGCAUGGCAUGCGUGGUGAGAUCCAAGCCAUCCAUCAUGUGGGCACCACUAUGUAAAUGCCCUUGCCUAAAAAUCAGGUUAGUCUACUGGUAGAGUGGGUUACAGUUUAUAUGAACAAAAGGAUGCUAAAAGACUUGGUAAAGUUUUUCUAAAGUGCCAAUUUGUUUCUAACCUUUUUAUGCAGCGAUGAAUCGACUAGACUAAUUUCUAACCUUUCAACUUCACCUAAUGCAGCUUUCUAAUAAUUCUUGCUUCUGUUACUGCAACCAUUUAAGUUCUUUCUUUUGUAGGCAGUUGUCAGGCAGUGACUUGAAAAGGUCACUCUUUUUGCUUGCCCAUCCAUCAAAAGAACUGUUUUUUCAGCUAAAAGUUUGUUCUUUUUUCUGCAUUCGGGAAGCUAUUGUAAGUAAAUCUUCAAGUGUCUAAUAAUUUAUUUCAUAGAUAAAAUAAAUAAAUAAACAAAUAAACGAAGUCUCUAUUUACUUUCCCCGUUCCAUCUUUUGAUUAUUCUUUCAUUUAUCAUGCAUUCACGUUUGCCAACCUUGCAAAUUGAAAAGCUUGUGCAAAUUUGCGAACCAUAGAGUAAAUAAAUGGUGGAACUUGGAUUUAAAAGAUGCAUUGAUGAUUCUUAUAUUAUUCAAUUUUCUCAUGAUGAUUGUUUUAUACAAGACUAAUGUACAAGGACAGUACAAGGGAUGAAGAGAUUGGGUGUGCA